GGUGGCGAGUGGCGAACGGGUGAGUAAUGUAUCGGAACGUGCCCAGUAGCGGGGGAUAACUACGCGAAAGCGUAGCUAAUACCGCAUACGCCCUACGGGGGAAAGCAGGGGAUCGCAAGACCUUGCACUAUUGGAGCGGCCGAUAUCGGAUUAGCUAGUUGGUGGGGUAACGGCUCACCAAGGCGACGAUCCGUAGCUGGUUUGAGAGGACGACCAGCCACACUGGGACUGAGACACGGCCCAGACUCCUACGGGAGGCAGCAGUGGGGAAUUUUGGACAAUGGGGGAAACCCUGAUCCAGCCAUCCCGCGUGUGCGAUGAAGGCCUUCGGGUUGUAAAGCACUUUUGGCAGGAAAGAAACGUCGCGGGUUAAUACCCCGCGGAACUGACGGUACCUGCAGAAUAAGCACCGGCUAACUACGUGCCAGCAGCCGCGGUAAU
rnacentral:rRNA from 1 species